UCAAGGAAGAAAGGGCGUACGGAGAAUGCCUGGGCACAGAGAGGCGAUGAAGGACGCAGCGAACAGCGAAAUGCGGCGGCGAGCGGUAAGCACGCGAUGACCCGCCGAUAUCCGAAUGGGGAAACCCCUCCGCUUUCGAAGCGGAGACCGCAUGACGACCGUCAUGACGGGGCAAUACGCAGGGAACUGAAACAUCUAAGUACCUGCAGGAGAAGAAAACAAACGUGAUUCCCCCAGUAGCGGCGAGCGACCGGGGAAAAGCCCAAACCGUUAUUGUUUCGGCAUUAACGGGGUAGUAGGACUGCAAGCUUGAUGAAAUAAAUGAAAUGGAACACCUUGGAAAAUGUGAUCACAGAGGGUGAUAAUCCCGUACAUGCAAGUUUAUGAAUCAUAGCAGUAUCCUGAGUAAGUCGGGACACGUGUAAUCCUGACCGAAUCCGCCGGGACCAUCCGGCAAGGCUAAAUACUCCUGAGAGACCGAUAGUGAACCAGUACCGUGAGGGAAAGGUGAAAAGCACUUCGAACAGAAGAGUGAAAUAGUCCCUGAACCCAUACGCCUACAAGCUGUCGGAGCCGCUUCGUGCGGUGACGGCGUGCCUUUUGCAUAAUGAGCCUACGAGUUACUCAUCACCAGCGAGGUUAAGUACUUCAGGUACGUAAGCCGAAGCGAAAGCGAGUCUGAAUAGGGCGUCAAGUUGGUGGUGGUAGACGCGAAACCUUAGUGAUCUACCCAUGGGCAGGGUGAAGGUUUGGUAACACAAACUGGAGGCCCGAACCGGUAAACGUUGAAAAGUUUUCGGAUGACCUGUGGGUAGGGGUGAAAGGCCAAUCAAGCUGGGAAAUAGCUCGUACUCCCCGAAAUGCAUUUAGGUGCAGCCUCUGUUGUUUUGUUCUAGAGGUAGAGCUACUGAUUGGAUGCGAGGGCUUCACCGCCUAUCAAAUCCGGCCAAACUCCGAAUGCUAGAACAUGAAGACAGGGAGUGAGCCAGCGGGUGCUAAGGUCCGUUGACGAAAGAGGGAGAACUCAGACCAUCAGCUAAGGUCCCCAAUUGUAUGCUAAGUUGGAAUUAAAACGGGGUGGGACUGCUUAGACAGCUAGGAUGUUGGCUUGGAAGCAGCCAUUCAUUUAAAGAGUGCGUAACAGCUCACUAGUCGAGCGGUCCUGCAUGGAUAAUACGCGGGCAUAAGCAUAUAACCGAAGCUAUGGGAUUGUAGAUGAUACAAUCGGUAGGAGAGCAUUCCAUUCAGCGUAGAAGCAGUAUCGUGAGGUAUUGUGGAGCGGAUGGAAAAGCAAAUGUAGGCAUAAGUAACGAUAAUGCGGGUGAGAACCCCGCACGCCGAAAGAUCAAGGAUUCCCCGGCAAUGUCAAUCAUCCGGGGGUAAGUCGGAUCCUAAGGGUAAGCCGAGUGGCGAUCCCGAUGGCAAACAGGUUAAUAUUCCUGUACUGAUCAUAACUGCGAUGCAGCGACGCAGAGGUGACACUGCUGCGUACUGACGGAAUAGUACGUUGAAACCCGUAUUCUUUGAUACCGGUAGUGAAGCACGCCGGUAGAGAUGAAAGGUGAUAGUACCGCAAUGCUUCGGUUGCGCGGAUAACGCAGGUAAGCUGACUGCCAAGAAAACCUGCUAAGCUUCAGGUAAUGAUCAUCCGUACUGUAAACGGACACACGUGAUCAGGUAGAAAAUACUAAGGCGCUCGAGAGAUUCAUGGUUAAGGAACUAGGCAAAAUGGUCCUGUAACUUCGGGAUAAAGGACGCUCUUGUGAAAGAGCCGCAGAUAAUAGGCCCAGGCGACUGUUUACCAAAAACACAUGGCUAUGCUAAUUCGCAAGAAGAUGUAUAUGGCCUGACACCUGCCCGGUGCCGGAAGGUUAAGAGGAGAGCUCAGAGGCAACUCGAAGGUUUGAAUUGAAGCCCCGGUAAACGGCGGCCGUAACUAUAACGGUCCUAAGGUAGCGAAAUUCCUUGUCGGGUAAGUU
rnacentral:rRNA from 1 species